UACAGAGGUCUCAAGCGUUGUUCGGAUUCAUUGGGCGUAAAGGGUGCGUAGGCGGCGCGGUAAGUCGGAUGUGAAAUCUCGGAGCUUAACUUCGAAACUGCAUUCGAUACUGCCGUGCUUGAGGUCGGUAGAGGGGGGUGGAAUUGCUGGUGUAGCGGUGAAAUGCGUAGAGAUCAGCAGGAACACCCGUGGCGAAGGCGGCCCCCUGGGCCGUACCUGACGCUGAGGCGCGAAGGCUAGGGGAGCGAACGGG
rnacentral:rRNA from 1 species